UACGUAGGUGGCAAGCGUUGUCCGGAUUUACUGGGCGUAAAGAGCGCGCAGGCGGUCGUUUCAAGUCGCGUGUGAAAGCCCCCGGCUCAACUGGGGAGGGUCACGCGAUACUGAUCGACUCGAAGGCAGGAGAGGGAAGUGGAAUUCCCGGUGUAGUGGUGAAAUGCGUAGAUAUCGGGAGGAACACCAGUGGCGAAGGCGACUUCCUGGCCUGUUCUUGACGCUGAGGCGCGAAAGCUAGGGGAGCAAACGGGGAUUAAGAAACCCCCUGUAGU
rnacentral:rRNA from 1 species